GACGGCUUAGCUCAGCAGAUAGCUGGUUUGGACCAUGACUGUGACGUGGGUUCGAAUCCCACAGUUGUCC
rfam:Puccinia sorghi strain RO10H11247 Scaffold_3653, whole genome shotgun sequence.